AUUGAACGCUGGCGGCGUGCCUAACACAUGCAAGUCGAGCGGUAACAGGUGUAGCAAUACAUGCUGACGAGCGGCGGACGGGUGAGUAACGCUUGGGAAUCUGCCUAUUAGUGGGGGACAACCCGGGGAAACUCGGGCUAAUACCGCAUACGCUCUACGGAGGAAAGCCGGGGACCGCAAGGCCUGGCGCUAAUAGAUGAGCCCAAGUCGGAUUAGCUAGUUGGUAGGGUAANGGCCUACCAAGGCGACGAUCCGUAACUGGUCUGAGAGGACGACCAGUCACACCGGAACUGAGACACGGUCCGGACUCCUACGGGAGGCAGCAGGUGGGGGAAUAUUGGACAAUGGGCGAAAGCCUGAUCCAGCGACGCCGCGUGGGU
rnacentral:rRNA from 1 species